rnacentral:SRP_RNA from 2 species
GCUGGGCAUGGUGGCGUGUGCCUGUAAUCCCAGCUACUCAGGAGGCUGAGGCACAAAAAUCACUUGAACCCAGGAAGUGGAGGUUGCAGUGAGCCAAGAUCCUGCCACUGCACUCCAGCCUGGGUGACAGAGUGAGACUUUGUCUCAA